AUUGAACGCUGGCGGCAUGCCUUACACAUGCAAGUCGAACGGUAACGGGCCUUCGGGUGCCGACGAGUGGCGAACGGGUGAGUAAUACAUCGGAACGUGCCCGAUCGUGGGGGAUAACGAGGCGAAAGCUUUGCUAAUACCGCAUACGAUCUACGGAUGAAAGCAGGGGACCGCAAGGCCUUGCGCGGACGGAGCGGCCGAUGGCAGAUUAGGUAGUUGGUGGGAUAAAAGCUUACCAAGCCGACGAUCUGUAGCUGGUCUGAGAGGAUGAUCAGCCACACUGGGACUGAGACACGGCCCAGAAUCCUACGGGAGGCAGCAGGGGGGAAAUUUGGACAAUGGGCGCAAGCCUGAUCCAGCCAUGCCGCGUGCAGGAUGAAGGCCUUCGGGUUGUAAACUGCUUUUGUACGGAACGAAAAGCCUUCUUUUAAUACAGGAGGGUCAUGACGGUACCGUAAGAAUAAACACCGGCUAACUACGU
rnacentral:rRNA from 1 species